rnacentral:rRNA from 1 species
UACGUAGGGACCGAGCGUUGUCCGGAUUCAUUGGGCGUAAAGAGCUCGUAGGCGGCUGUUCAAGUCGAACGUGAAAACUCGGAGCUCAACUCCGAGCCUGCGUUCGAUACUGGACGGCUAGAGUCUGGUAGGGGGAUCUGGAAUUCCUGGUGUAGCGGUGGAAUGCGCAGAUAUCAGGAGGAACACCGAUGGCGAAGGCAGUGAUCUGGGCCAGUACUGACGCUGAGGAGCGAAAGCGUGGGUAGCAAACAGG